rnacentral:sRNA from 1 species
UCGUAUGCCUGCUGCGGGCAGAUGAAGUGGAUGUGCGUGUCGAGUCCGCCAGCCGUGAUGAUCUUGCCCUCGCCGGCAACGACAUCGGUACAGCUGCCCACGAUCAUACCCUCCGUAACGCCAUCCAUAACGUCCGGGUUACCAGCCUUUCCAAUGCCCACAAUCAGCCCGUCCUUCACACCAAUAUCCGCCUUGUAAAUCCCGCUCCAGUCGACAAUCAACGCAUUCGUCACAACCAUAUCCAGACUAUCCUUAUCCGACCGCCCCGUCGCCUGUCCCAUGCCCUCUCUCAG